CAGUAGCCGCGGUAAUACGGAGGGGGCUAGCGUUGUUCGGAAUUACUGGGCGUAAAGCGCACGUAGGCGGCUUGGUAAGUUAGAGGUGAAAGCCCGGAGCUCAACUCCGGAAUUGCCUUUAAGACUGCCGAGCUAGUAGGUGAGAGAGGUAAGUGGAAUUCCGAGUGUAGAGGUGAAAUUCGUAGAUAUUCGGAAGAACACCAGUGGCGAAGGCGGCUUACUGGCUCAUUCUAGACGCUGAGGUGCGAAAGCGUGGGGAGCAAACAGGAUUAGAUACCCGUGUAGUCCCUGUCUCUUAUAC
rnacentral:rRNA from 1 species